rnacentral:rRNA from 1 species
UACGUAGGGGGCAAGCGUUGUCCGGAAUCAUUGGGCGUAAAGAGCGUGUAGGCGGCCCGGUAAGUCCGCUGUGAAAGUCCAGGGCUCAACCCUGGGAUGCCGGUGGAUACUGUCGGGCUCGAGUCCGGAAGAGGAGUGUGGAAUUCCUGGUGUAGCGGUGAAAUGCGUAGAUAUCUGGAGGAACACCGGUGGCGAAGGCGACAUCCUGGACCGGUAUUGACGCUGAGGCGCGAAAGCCAGGGGAGCAAACGGG